rnacentral:rRNA from 1 species
GUUUCGGCUAGGGGGUCAUCCCGACUUACCAAACCGAUGCAAACUCCGAAUACCCAGAAGUGCCGAGCAUGGGAGACACACGGCGGGUGCUAACGUCCGUCGUGAAAAGGGAAACAACCCAGACCGCCAGCUAAGGUCCCCAAAUAUAGCUAAGUGGGAAACGAAGUGGGAAGGCUAAAACAGUCAGGAGGUUGGCUUAGAAGCAGCCACCCUUUAAAGAAAGCGUAAUAGCUCACUAGUCGAGUCGGCCUGCGCGGAAGAUGUAACGGGGCUCAAACCACACACCGAAGCUGCGGGUGUCACGUAAGUGACGCGGUAGAGGAGCGUUCUGUAAGCCUGUGAAGGUGAGUUGAGAAGCUUGCUGGAGGUAUCAGAAGUGCGAAUGCUGACAUGAGUAACGACAAUGGGUGUGAAAAACACCCACGCCGAAAGACCAAGGGUUCCUGCGCAACGUUAAUCGACGCAGGGUUAGUCGGUUCCUAAGGCGAGGCUGAAAAGCGUAGUCGAUGGGAAACAGGUUAAUAUUCCUGUACUUCUGGUUACUGCGAUGGAGGGACGGAGAAGGCUAGGCCGGCCGGGCGACGGUUGUCCCGGUUUAAGCGUGUAGGGGGUGUGACCUGGUAAAUCCGGUUGCAUACUAACCC